rnacentral:rRNA from 1 species
AUGGAGGAGAGCUUCGUGCCCCUCCGAGGCAUCAAGAACGACGUCCGCGGGCGCCUCGCCUGCUACAAGCAGGACUGGACCGGAGGCUUCAGUGCCGGUAUCAGGAUCCUGGCGCCGACCACCUACAUCUUCUUCGCCUCCGCGAUACCCGUGAUAUCGUUCGGGGAGCAAUUGGAGAGGAGCACCGAUGGGGUCCUCACAGCAGUGCAGACAUUGGCAUCCACCGCCCUGUGUGGCAUAAUCCACUCCAUUGUGGGAGGGCAGCCCCUGCUGAUCCUGGGCGUGGCCGAGCCCACGGUCAUCAUGUACACAUUCAUGUUCAGCUUUGCCAAGGACAGGGCCGACCUCGGUCCCAACCUCUUCCUCGCCUGGGCCGGUUGGGUCUGCGUGUGGACUGCCCUCUUGCUGUUCUUGCUGGCGGUACUGGGCGCGUGCUCCAUCAUAAACCGGUUCACCCGCAUAGCCGGCGAGCUGUUCGGGCUGCUCAUCGCCAUGCUCUUCAUGCAGCAGGCUAUCAAGGGACUUGUUGACGAGUUCGGCGUUCCUGAGAGGGAGAACAUAAAAGCACUACAGUUUGUUCCAUCAUGGAGGUUUGCCAACGGAAUGUUUGCUAUCGUGUUGUCAUUUGGCCUUCUUCUCACCGCGCUGCGGAGCAGGAAAGCGCGAUCCUGGCGCUAUGGGGCAGGUUGGCUGCGUGGCUUCAUCGCCGACUACGGCGUUCCACUGAUGGUGCUGGUGUGGACAGGAGUUUCUUACAUACCACAUGACAGUGUGCCGAAAGGGAUCCCGCGGCGCCUUUUCAGCCCUAAUCCAUGGUCCCCUGGUGCAUAUGACAACUGGACAGUCAUCAAGGAUAUGCUCCAAGUGCCAGUCAUGUACAUCAUUGGUGCCUUCAUGCCUGCAACAAUGAUUGCUGUCCUGUAUUACUUCGACCACAGCGUGGCAUCCCAGCUCGCUCAGCAGGCGGAAUUUAAUUUGAGGAAGCCUCCAUCUUUCCACUAUGAUUUGCUUCUCCUAGGCUUCCUGACACUGAUGUGUGGCCUAAUUGGUAUCCCUCCAUCCAAUGGCGUCAUUCCACAGUCGCCGAUGCAUACAAAGAGCUUGGCUACUCUAAAGCAUCAGAUACUCCGUAAUCGACUAGUGGCCACGGCACGGCAAAGCAUGCGCCAGAACGCGAGCUUGAGCCAACUGUACAACAACAUGCAGGAUGCUUAUCAUCAGAUUCAGACACCGCUGAUCCACCAACAACAGUCCGUCAAAGGCUUAAACGAGCUCAAGGACUCCACUGUCCAGUUAGCAUCAAGCAUGGGUAACUUCGAUGCACCGGUUGAUGAGACAAUCUUUGACAUAGAAAAGGAGAUUGAUGAUCUGCUGCCUAUGGAGGUCAAGGAGCAAAGGUUGAGCAACUUUCUACAGGCUGUGAUGGUUGGGGGCUGCGUGGCCGCCAUGCCGUUACUGAAGAAGAUCCCUACAGCAGUGCUGUGGGGGUAUUUUGCGUUCAUGGCGAUUGAGAGCUUGCCUGGUAACCAGUUCUGGGAACGAAUUUUGCUGCUCUUCACUGCUCCCAGCAGAAGAUACAAGGUGCUGGAGGAGUACCAUACAACAUUUGUCGAGACCGUGCCAUUCAAGACGAUAGCCAUGUUCACACUCUUCCAGACCACAUAUCUGCUUGUUUGCUUUGGGAUCACAUGGAUCCCAAUAGCUGGGGUUCUCUUCCCCCUCAUGAUCAUGCUCCUGGUUCCAGUCAGGCAGUAUAUCCUCCCAAAGCUCUUCAAAGGUGCACAUCUCAAUGACCUGGACGCAGCGGAGUAUGAGGAGUCACCGGCUAUACCAUUCAACCUUGCUGCGCAAGAUAUUGAUGUGGCACUGGGACGCACCCAAAGCGCAGAGAUCCUUGACGACAUGGUCACCAGAAGCCGCGGUGAGAUCAAACGCCUGAAUAGUCCGAAGAUCACCAGCUCAGGUGGCACUCCUGUCACGGAACUGAAAGGCAUCCGCAGUCCUUGUAUCUCUGAGAAGGCCUACAGCCCUCGCGUCGCCGAGCUGAGGCAUGAACGCAGCCCUCUAGGGGGACGAGACAGUCCACGGACGGGUGAGGCCCGACCAUCCAAGCUGGGUGAAGGCUCAACACCAAAAUGA